rnacentral:tRNA from 1 species
AAGGGAGACCUAAUUCCGGUAGGAGACGAAAAAAAAGUAGUCCCAACCAAGAAUCAAUCCCAAAAGGUCGGAACGAGGUAUGAGGCUUUCAAACUAGGUUCUGGGUUCAUAAAAGACCUGAAUCAGGAACAAGGGCUAUUAGCUCAGGUGGUUAGAGCGCACCCCUGAUAAGGGUGAGGUCCCUGGUUCGAGUCCAGGAUGGCCCACCUGCACAGGUGGCAAAAACAAGAGAAGCUCCGAAUCAGCACCUUAUCUUAUAUACAUAUAUAAGAGAGAAUGCUGGCUCUGAGUACAGAGUCCAGAGGAACCUUGAAAACUGCAUAGAGCUAGGUGAAAAAGCCAAAAAAGAAGACCGCAA